rnacentral:rRNA from 1 species
AACGAACGCUGGCGGCAGGCCUAACACAUGCAAGUCGAACGAGAAGCUUUCCUUCGGGAAAGUGGAAAGCGGCAAACGGGUGAGUAACGCGUAAGAAUCUGCCUUUCAGUGAGGAAUACCUCCGAGAAAUUGGAGUUAAUACUGCAUACGUCCCUACGGGGAGAAAGAUGGCCUCUUUGCUGUCGCUGAAAGAUGAGCUUGCGUACUAUUAGCUAGUUGGUGGGGUAAAGGCCUACCAAGGCAAAGAUGGUUAGCCGGCCUGAGAGGGUGUACGGCCACAUUGGAACUGAGACACGGUCCAGACUCCUACGGGAGGCAGCAGUGAGGAAUAUUGCGCAAUGGGCGAAAGCCUGACGCAGCGACUCCGCGUGAAGGAUGAAGGUUUUAGGAUCGUAAACUUCUGUUAAGUGGGAAGAAAGUCUUUGUUUUAAUACAGCAAAGGUAUGACGGUACCACUAGAGAAAGCACCGGCUAACUUCGUG